rnacentral:rRNA from 1 species
UACGGGGGGGGCAAGCGUUGUUCGGAAUUACUGGGCGUAAAGGGCGCGUAGGCGGCCUUCUAAGUCGGACGUGAAAUCCCUCGGCUCAACCGAGGAACUGCGUCUGAUACUGGAAGGCUUGAAUCCGGGAGAGGGAUGUGGAAUUCCUAGUGUAGAGGCGAAAUUCGUAGAUAUUAGGAAGAACACCAGUGGCGAAGGCGGCUCACUGGCCCGGUACUGACGCUGAGGCGCGAAAGCGUGGGGAGCAAACAGG